AUAAUCCAAGAUUUUUUUUAAAAAUCUUCCACCUCAAGCUUUUCAUGUUCGAUUCAUCCAAUAUAUUGUAAUACAUAAAAUUUUUCUUUAGAAUGCAUCAAGCACCUAGUUAUAGAAGGUAGAAUAGAAAUUAUAAUAAUAAAAUCUUAAUUCUAAUAGAAUAUUAAAUAAAAAUCUAAUUAAAUCCUAACAAUGCUAAAUAAGCUUUAAUCAAAUUUAAAAAGAAACCUUAUAGAAAUCACAAAAGAAACAAUAAAGAAUCUUAGAUGGAUUGAAAGAUAAUCCACAAUAAAUCUUAAUAAAAUCCUUAAGAAGCCCUAAAAAAUAUUAAAAUAAUGAUAAUAUAUCUUAAAUAAAUUUUAAUUAAGUUCUAAUUUAAUCCAAGUUGAAAUCCUAAUAGACUUCAAUUAAAUUUAACAUAAAUCCUUAAUCCUAAAUUAAAUCUUAAUCAAAUCCUAAAUCCUAAAUCUUAAAUCAAAUCCUAUAUAAAUCUUAACAAAACUCUAAAUUCUAAAUCAAAUCCUCACCAAAUUUUAUACACUAAACUAAUUCCUAACCAAAUCUUGAAUCCUAAACCAAAUUCUAACCAAUCCUAAAUCCUAAACCAAAACUUAGAAAAAUCCUGAGCAAAUUUUAAAUCCUAAACCAAAUAUUAAUCAAAUCUUAAAUCCUAAAUCAAAUCCUAAUCAAAUCUUAAAUCCUAAUUCAAGUCCUAACUAAAUUCUAAUGAAAUCUUAAAUCCUAAAUCGAACUCUAACCAAAUCUUAA
rnacentral:lncRNA from 1 species